rnacentral:rRNA from 1 species
AUACGUAGGUGGCGAGCGUUAUCCGGAAUUAUUGGGCGUAAAGAGGGAGCAGGCGGCACUAAGGGUCUGUGGUGAAAGAUCGAAGCUUAACUUCGGUAAGCCAUGGAAACCGUAGAGCUAGAGUGUGUGAGAGGAUCGUGGAAUUCCAUGUGUAGCGGUGAAAUGCGUAGAUAUAUGGAGGAACACCAGUGGCGAAGGCGACGAUCUGGCGCAUAACUGACGCUCAGUCCCGAAAGCGUGGGGAGCAAAUAGGAUUAGAUACCCUAGUAGUCCACGCCGUAAACGAUGAGUACUAAGUGUUGGGAGUCAAAUCUCAGUGCUGCAGUUAACGCAAUAAGUACUCCGCCUGAGUAGUACGUUCGCAAGAAUGAAACUCAAAGGAAUUGACGGGGGCCCGCACAAGCGGUGGAGCAUGUGGUUUAAUUCGAAGCAACGCGAAGAACCUUACCAGGUCUUGACAUCGAUCUAAAGGCUCCAGAGAUGGAGAGAUAGCUAUAGAGAAGACAGGUGGUGCAUGGUUGUCGUCAGCUCGUGUCGUGAGAUGUUGGGUUAAGUCCCGCAACGAGCGCAACCCCUGUUGCCAGUUGCCAGCAUUAAGUUGGGGACUCUGGCGAGACUGCCGGUGACAAGCCGGAGGAAGGCGGGGAUGACGUCAAAUCAACAUGCCCCUUAUGACCUGGGCUACACACGUGCUACAAUGGACAGAGCAGAGGGAAGCGAAGCCGCGAGGUGGAGCGAAACCCAUAAAACUGUUCUCAGUUCGGACUGCAGUCUGCAACUCGACUGCACGAAGAUGGAAUCGCUAGUAAUCGCGAAUCAGCAUGUCGCGGUGAAUACGUUCUCGGGCCUUGUACACACCGCCCGUCACACCAUGAGAGUCGGUAACACCCGAAGUCCGGUGGCCUAACCGCAAGGAAGGAGCUGUCUAAGGUGGGACUGAUGAUUGGGGUG